rnacentral:rRNA from 1 species
GACGAACGCUGGCGGCGUGCCUAAUACAUGCAAGUAGAACGCAGUUGCGAACGGUUGAGUAACGCGUAGGUAACUGCCUCAUAGCGGGGGAUAACUAUUGGAAACGAUAGCUAGUACCGCCUACUAUGAUAUGGACCUGCGUUGUAUUAGCUAGUUGGUGAGGUAAAGGCUCAACAAGGCGACGGUACAUAGCCGAACUGAGAGGGUGAUCGGGCACCAUGGGGACGAGGAAAGGCCCAGAAGUCGAACGGAGGUAGUCGGAGGGAAUCUUCGGCAAUGGACGGAAGUCUGACCGAGCAACGCCGGGUGAGGUAAGAAGGUUUUCGGAUCGUAAAGCUCUGUUGUGAUAGAAGCGGUAACUAACCAGAAAGGGACGGCUAACUACGUGCCAGCAGCCGCGGUAAUUC